rnacentral:rRNA from 1 species
AUACGGAGGGAGCGAGCGUUAAUCGGAAUUACUGGGCGUAAAGCGCGCGUAGGCGGCUUUGUAAGUCGGAUGUGAAAGCCCUGGGCUCAACCUGGGAAUGGCAUUCGAUACUGCAUAACUAGAGUAUGGUAGAGGGAAGUGGAAUUUCCGGUGUAGCGGUGAAAUGCGUAGAUAUCGGAAGGAACACCAGUGGCGAAGGCGACUUCCUGGGCCAAUACUGACGCUGAGGUGCGAAAGCGUGGGGAGCAAACAGGAUUAGAAACCCCAGUAGUCC